UAGUUGGGAAUAGAGGACCACUUGUCUUCCCCCCACCUCGGUCGGCGCCAGCCCCUAUAUUCAGAAUAUAAUUCUACUGGUAGGAGAGGAGUAGCAGUGAUAUAUACAAAUCUCCAAAAUCCCAAUCCAUCUCUGUCCUCUUGUGAAAGAAAGAGGAGGGCCACCAGAAGCCCAUCUGAGAAAAGAUUUUAAGUGUGGAAGAGAAGAGAGACAGAGGGAGCACGGAGAGAAAGAGAAAGGGAAAGGGAAAAAAGAAAAAGAAAAGAGAGAAAAAAAAAAACUCAUUUUGGAGGAGUUGGGAUUCUAGCCAAUCCCAGUUCAGCCACCCUUUCCACCAAAGAGAAAGGAAAGAACAAUUUAUUGAAGUCGGGCAGUGAUAAGUGUGAAAGAAGAGAGAAAAGAGGGGGGUAGCCUCCUUAAGUUAGAAGGACCAAGAUCUCUUUCCCAGCUUUUUCUUUUUUUCUUUUCUUUUGUUUCUUUUGCUUUCCUUUGGUUCUCCUUUUACUUCCUCGGGAAGUAGAGCUCAUCCCAAGGUCUCUCCUUCGCCUUUCUAAAGCCACUACUUAUAGGGUUCACUACAUGGUUGUUUUUUCGCUUGUAAAGGUGCACUAUAUGGUUGUUUUUUUUAAAUAUAUAUAAGGUUCCCUAUACGGUUGCUCUCCUCUCUCUCUCUCUCUCUGGGGAAUCCAUUGAAAGGAGGCCUUCUUCUAUAUCUUUGUGGCUGUGAUCAAUCCUAGAGCUUUUAUAUGAUGGCCCAUGAGUCCCACUAUGCUGAAUUCUACGCCGGCGGCCACCCGGCGAUACAAAGCUUCGAGCCCAACCACGACCUCUUCGGCCCCCAAGGAGGGAUGGAGAUGUUGGGACCCCCUUCCAAGCACCCAAGCUCCAACCUUGGGAGAGGUUUCAUCCCCCCAGGCUUCCUUGAGGCAUCGAACAAGAACUUUAUGUUCUCGACGGAGGCGGCGGCACCGACAAGCCCAUGGCAGGUAGAUGACUCCUCUUUGAGGUCUCUGUUUCCCUGCCAAGGGGCCGAGCAGCCCGGUGGGAGGCUAUUACUCUCUCUCUUCAACCCGAAGCCCUCCGACGCCAUCGGUGUUCCCCAGUCCUUCCAUCAGAGUGAUUCCAGGGAUGUAUUGCUUUCAAGAGCAGAAAGUUCUCAUCAGCAGCAGGUGUUCAUGCAGGAAGGGAGGGUUUUUAAUUCACAGCAGCCCUUUCAGCUGAAGAAUUCCAAGUACUUGAUCCCAGCUAAGGAGCUUUUGAAUGAAUUCUGUAGUUUAGGAGGAGAGAUCAGCUCAAAAAAGAGGUCCCAGAAGGCAAGCCAAGGGGAAGAAGGUGGGCCUUCUUCUUCCUCUUCUUCUCUGUGGAACCAGUCCCUAAACUCCAUGGACCUCUUGGAGCUCCAGAGGAGGAAGGCUAAGCUGCUUUCCAUGCUAGAAGAGGUGGAUAGGGGAUACAGAAAAUACUGCAAGCAGAUGAGGGUGGUGGUGUCAUCUUUUGAGGCCGUGGCCGGGGAAGGAGCAGCCACAGUCUAUUCGAGGUUGGCUUCCAAGGCAAUGUCGAGGCACUUUCGAUGCCUGAGAGAUGGAAUUGUCGGUCAGAUACGAGCGAUGAAGAAGGCGAUCGGAGAGAAGGACAGCAUCGCACUGGGGACUACAAGAGGUGAGACGCCAAGGCUCAAGCUGCUCGACCAGUGCCUGCGACAGGAGAAGGCGUUUCAGCAGGCAGGGAUGAUGGAGAGCCACCCUUGGCGACCCCAGAGAGGCCUUCCAGAGCGUUCUGUUACCAUUCUUCGAGCUUGGCUCUUCGAGCAUUUCCUUCACCCGUAUCCCAGCGAUGUCGAUAAACACAUCUUAGCCCGGCAAACCGGACUCUCGAGAAGCCAGGUCUCCAAUUGGUUUAUAAAUGCAAGGGUGAGGCUUUGGAAGCCAAUGAUAGAGGAGAUGUACUCCCAAGAGAUGAAUGAACACAACAACCAGUCCUCCCAUGCAGCAACUUCACAUGAAGAUAACACCAACCGUAACCCUAACCAUAACUUCAGCCUUAAUCAGAAGCCAGCACCAGGGCAGCUGCUCAAUGACUCCGAUUCGCUCUCAUCGAUCAUCAACAGCAGCCACCACAGCGAUGAAAAAGCUACAAUAAAUGUCAAAACUUCCCAAGAUCACAAUCCAGAGCAUCAGGUUCCCAGGACUGAGAGCUUCGGUGCCGUCGGCCGGGACAUCUCCUCCUACAGCAGCUGUGGCAAUCAAAACUUGCGCAGCGGCGUGUCCUUAACACUGGGCCUUCAGCAGAACAGUGGGGUAGGCAUGAGCCUAUCAUUCUCACCUGCCUCUCAGCAUUCUCUCCUCUUCUCCAGAGAACAUAUGGACGAUGGCCAACAGGUGCAGUUCAGCAUUUUAGAUGGGGAGGCACGGAGCCUUCCCUACAGGAACAUGAUGGGAGCUCAGCUGCUGCAUGACUUGGCAGGAUAGAGGAUAAAGAAGGCAUGCCAUCUGCAUGGUUAGAAUAGAAACAUACUGGCUCUAGCAAUGGACAAAUAUUUUGUUCCAGUAAGGAGCUACCAUGAUGAUGAAGAAUAGUUACAACUCAAUUCUUGUCAAGCUUGACUCAAUUCAGACUAAGCAGCCAAGUUUGAACAAGGGUAUACAUGGGUAUUUGGGCAGGGUUAGGCCUAAAAGCCUGAAGUUGGAGCUCAGGCCCAACCCGUACAACAAAGACAUAGUGUUCCUGGCCUAAGCCCAAUCCAAGGUAAGACAGUUCUCAGGACCGGCCAGCCCCAAAUCUGGGAUUAAAAGAAAUUCUUUGUGCACUGCCCGCGGUGUAGAAAAUCUGAUAUGGAGUGCAUUGCUUCAUCUUAUUGGAUCAUAUAGUUGCUAUUUUUCAACGCACAUUUAAUA